rnacentral:rRNA from 1 species
UGGGGGAAUAUUGGGCAAUGGGGCGUAAGCCUGACCCAGCAACGCCGCGUGAGGGAAGAAGGGUUUCGGCUCGUAAACCUCUGUCCUAUGGGACGAAGAAAGUGACGGUACCAUAGGAGGAAGCCCCGGCUAACUACGUGCCAGCAGCCGCGGUAAUACGUGGGGGGCGAGCGUUGUCCGGAAUGAUUGGGCGUAAGGGGCGCGUAGGCGGCCUGAUAAGUCUGGAGUGAAAGUCCUGCUUUCAAGGUGGGAAUUGCUUUGGAUACUGUCGGGCUGGAGUGCAGGAGAGGAAAGCGGAAUUACCGGUG